GAUGAACGCUGGCGGCGUGCCUAAUACAUGCAAGUCGAGCGAACGGACGAGAAGCUUGCUUCUCUGAUGUUAGCGGCGGACGGGUGAGUAACACGUGGAUAACCCAUCUAUAAGACUGGGAUAACUUCGGGAAACCGGAGCUACUACCGGAUAAUAUUUUGAACCGCAUGGUUCAAAAGUGAAAGACGGGCUUGCUGUCACCUAUAGAUGGAUCCGCGCUGCAUUAGCUAGUUGGUAAGGUAACGGCUUACCAAGGCGACGAUGAAUAGCCGACCUGAGAGGGUGAUCGGCCACACUGGAACUGAGACACGGUCCAGACUCCUGCGGGAGGCAGCAGUAGGGAAUCUUCCGCAAUGGGCGAAAGCCUGACGGAGCAACGCCGCGUGAGUGAUGAAGGUCUUCGGAUCGUAAAACUCUGUUAUUAGGGAAGAACAUAUGUGUAAGUAACUGUGCACAGCUUGACGGUACCUAAUCAGAAAGCCACGGCUAACUACGUG
rnacentral:rRNA from 1 species